GUUGUAUAAGCUAAAUAGGUAUAGCGUCCGUUUUGUAAUCGGAAGGUUUGAAGUUCGAUUCUUCAAUACAACA
rfam:Candida auris strain 6684 Scaffold28, whole genome shotgun sequence.